UUACCAGCAGUCCGGGAGGUGCCUGUGCUCUAGUGCCAUUACAGGAAGACAAGGGAACUCCUGGGGGCAGGAGCCAGCGAGGAAGAAGGCCCAGAGACGUGCGAGGGGGAACUGCGUGGAGGAGGUCGGAGGUCGCCGGAGAGACAAUGGGGUUCAACUGGUCAAGACGGCAUCGCCCUUCUGUUUGUCCUUCACGCGCUCCCGCCUUGCACUGGGUCUGCUCUGGGUGACAGAGGACAGCAUUCUGGGGUGCAGAGUUUGACCAAAAAAAAAAUUUCAUGGCACUUAGUAAAAAUAAAAAGAGACCUGCAGUGAGGAAAUAUUAACCCAGGACACCUCAAGGUAAAAGCUCUUCUAGGGCGUUUGAAUUCGGGGAUGUUAUGAGAGAACACGUGGGCUCGAAGACGCGGAGGGGAGGGAAGGCAAACCGAAGCGGCCUCCUCAGUCAGAUCCUCUCGGGAAAACUGGGUUAGAGUCUCCUGUGACCAAAUGCUUGUAAUUUUCCCUUAAAAUCUGUUUUGCAAUUUUUUUCACUAGUGUAUCAAGAAAGCCUGGUCUGAAUCAACUAACACCACAUCAACGAAUAUCCCGGACCUGGGAGCCCCCAUGUAGCUGUCCAAAGCGUAGGCUGGGGGGUGAGGCAGACCCAAAUUCCGACUCCACCGCUUACCUGUGCUGUGAUCCUAGGAAUUUUUCAAGAACAAAGUGAGUUACUAGAUGUGAAGUGCACGGACGGCAGCUGGCACAAAAUAAGCAUAUGUUGUGAUGUUUGCAAUAUCCGGCAGGUUUUCUCUCUGCAACAGCCCUAAAAUUUCUCUCCAAAUUGGCUGCAUUGGUAAAGCGCAACCAAAAACAUUUCCCUUUGGCUGUGGAGGCAAAGGGUGCGUUGUCGUCAUCAGGCUGCUGAGGCCGUCACAGAUUUUCACUCACUGCGGCUAAUCACACAAAACUUAAAACAACCAUGUGGCUCCUAGUUCCAUAAAGCUUCAGACAUCAGCUAUCAGAUCCUGCCAAGGUACAGCAACACUUCUUUAAAAGAGUUCAUCAUGCAUAUUCCAAAACCAUAUAGAAGAAUAAUCUACUCUUGGAUAAACUGAAUGCAUUUCCCAAAUACACAGGCACUUCAUUCCUGGAAUUCAAUGACAAACAAAACCCCAAACUAAAGUAAACUCAAGAGUUGGUCAUCACUCCUUCCCUUCUGCCCAUCAAGACGGAUGGAUUAUAACCUUUCCUGCUCCAUUCUAAACAGCCUGAGACCUUGGACUCCAGCAGCCCCAGGCCACAGCAGAAUGCCUUGGGAGAGGCAGGCAAUUAACUAAUGAAUUAUUAACAAUUAAAAACUGAAUUCUUAACAAUGAACUUUCAGGCUAGUGAGGGCGAUUGCUAUUUCUUCCAUUCUCUCCACUUUUUGGAGCAAGGGUGGGGCCUCAAAGUGCUUCCUGCAAGGUCCUUCAGAAAGUGACUCCUCUUCACAGCAAAUGCAGCAUUUGCCAGGCCCACGCUAAGCUCUGACCAUGCAGCCAUUCUCUCCCUCCCCACCCGAUCCAUCCUCUGAGGUCGGUAUCAUUUUUAUCCCCACUUUACAGAGGAGGAAACGGAAGCACCUAGAGCAGCACAGGUUCAGGUGUGUGCUCUGAUUGUGCACUGAGUCGUGUCCCUAAGCAUGGGUGAUGGCUGGCCGGCUACAGGAAGAGGGGUGUGGCUGCCCGCGUAGCGGAAGCAGCAGGAACAGAAGCACCGGGUCCAUUCGAGGGAAUGAAGGCGCGCCCGAGCACUGGGCCACGGAAGUGUGUG
ensembl:lncRNA